rnacentral:lncRNA from 10 species
CCGCGGGGUGCUCCCGCCGCCGACCCGGGACUGGCAGAGGGUACGCCGCGCCCAAGCCGCUCCUCUGGAUGGCGACAGAGACGGCCUGGCGCGCCCGCAGCCUGGGCCCCCAGCGGGGAGGACGGCCGGGCCAGGUGAAGUUCCUGCACUUGGGCCUUCCGCGUUCCCAUCCACUGCAGCCAGGGCCUGGAAGGCUGGGGAGGGGACGGGGGCGGCAGACGCCUCCUAAGGUGGGUUCUGGGACUUGGAUCCGGAGUUUAUUCCAAGGAGAGGGUGGUCUGGGCCUGUUCCCUAGGUGUGCCCUGUCACCCCAAAUCGGGCUUGUGCAGUGGGGUCCCUGAGUGCACUAGGAGCACAGCCUCAGACCCCAACAGAGUCACCCUUCAUCGGAGGCCCAGCGCCCAUGAGGGCUCCUCCUCCACCCAGGGCGGCACUGCCAGGCACAGGCACGCAAGUUCCCUCCGUCCUCUGCCCCAGGAUCACUCUACUCGGGCACCUCUGCCACUGCCCCGUGCUUGCCCUCCUGGUUCAUCUCCCUGGAGUCCCUGCAGGACCAGCUGUCGGUGGCGUCUCUGGGCUCCCAGUCCCGGGACUGGUCCUAUCGAGGGCCGGGGGCUGGAGCACCCCAGGAGGUUCUUUUGGAGCUGGAGACCCUUUUCUGAGGAGCCAGUAGAGGGCCUACGAGUCAGAUGGAGCGACCAGGGAGAAGCAGCAUCAUGCCUUCAUCUUGAGGCCUGGUCCAGGGAGGUGAAGGGAUGUGGACUGUCCCCAGCCCUACACUCACACACAACUCAUGCAUGUAAGCAUUCACGCCCCACGCACACACUGCACCACACGCACACACAUGUAUUUUCCUUGAAUCUCUCUCUCUCUCUCACACACACACACACACACACACACACACACACACACACACACACACUUUCUCAUCCACACACACAAACACUUUAGGAGAAACUGAGCAAAGAAAGGCAUGCUCUCACUGCAAGUCCUCUCACUCACACCCCAGUGGUUGAUGUGCACUGAAGCGUCCUUGCCAGGGUCUCUGACGAGAUUCUUGCGUUAAUAUGAUUGUGUCCAGGCUUGUUUUCUCCCAUCAAUUUUCAGUCCUGUUUAAUUAAAACACCGACUUUGCUGUUUAGUAUCCUCUCAACUGCAGCUUCUCCCUGCUCUCUUUCCUGGCAGGGAGGUGAUUCUGCAGAAGUUGGGGCUCCUGACAACUUUGGGGUGGCCAUGAGGGACACACCCCUUGCCUCUGGAUGUGCUGGGUAGUCCUGGCACCCUGGCAGGGAGGGUCUCCCUCAAUGGGAUUCCGUGGAGCCACCAUCGAUGCCCAGGUCUCCACCUCGACAAUUUCAUUCCUUUCAUUGAAGCCUUUUUUCCUCCUAAAAAGGAUGUGGCUUUUAAAAUGUUACAGAUUCCAGUUCAUCCUGUCCAUCCUGAACUCCUGUGCCAGACAUUCCUUCAUUCAACCUCUUUAUUGUGUACCUACUUGUGCCAGGCACUGGGACUGGUGAAGCCACCAAGACCUAGAUUUUCUGUCCCCUGGAAAGUGGCAGUCAGUUUGAGAAACAGACAAGGAAACAAACAAUUCCAGUGCAAUGUGGCAAGUGUCACAGUGGGAGGGAGAGGAGAGCA